rnacentral:misc_RNA from 1 species
GAUGAAGAACGCAGCGAAAUGCGAUACGUAAUGUGAAUUGCAGAAUUCAGUGAAUCAUCGAAUCUUUGAACGCAUAUUGCGCUCUCUGGUAUUCCGGAGAGCAUGCUUGUUUGAGUAUCAGUAAACACCUCAACUUCCAUAUCUUUUUUGAAAUGGGAGUUGGACUUGAGUGAUCCCAACGCUUUUCCUCACCGAAAAGUGGCGGGUUACUUGAAAUGCAGGUGCAGCUGGACUUUUCUCUGAGCUAUAAGCAUAUCUAUUUAGUCUGCCUAAAAAACAGAUUAUUACCUUUGCUGCAGCUAACAUAAAGGAGAUUAGUUCUUGUGCUGACUGAUGCAGGAUUCACAAAGACAGGCUUCGGCCGACUUUGUAAACUCGAUCUCAAAUCAAGUAAGACUACCCGCUGAACUUAAGCAUAUCAACAAGCGGAGGA